GCCCGCCCCGGCGGGCGGUGCUGCGGCCGCCCCCGCUCCCAGCAGCCUUUGCAGCCGCCUACAAUGAAAUUUGCGAAGUUUUUUCGGUUUCGGCGCCAUUUUCGAGUGGACUCGGAGCAGUGUUGAGAAAAAGCUGUGGAUCCUGGAAUUUUACAGUGGAUUUUACUGGUUUUCUGGAGUGCUCUCCUACUGAAGCAGUGAUCUGAUUGUGUCCAGAGGGUCCGUGCAGGGGCUGAUGUGCCCGUGUUCAGAGGUGAGUUGGGAAGGUAAGCUUGUGUCCCACCUCCUCCAAAAUAUCUGCAGCAUCUGCAUCCCUCUUGGUAAAUGCAGCUCCCUCUGACCCUUCUUGGGUACUGAGAGUAAUACCUUGGAGAUUUUCAGGUGAACUCAAAUUACCCUGUUCAGCUGCCAAUUUCUGAUUUGAAGUUGGGUUUCCAAAGCACAAACUAAGUGUGAAAGAAGCUGAAGUGAGAGAUGGGAUAAUUCAAACAUGGAACUAUCUAUUGCAUAAAAUAUUGAUGCUGUCAUGUCAUAAAUGUGCAUAUUUUCUCAGAUAGAUAUUUCACUGCCUAUCCCAAAUUUCCAGUUACCCAAUACUUGGUGUGACUGUUGAUUUUCCCUCUCUGCUGGAGGCUGGUGGAAGUGUAUUGGACCCUUGCUUUGAAAAGUCCUCCUUACUGAAGAGAGCUUUUGCCCUUGUUGUUGAACUAGGCAAAAGUCUGGUUUAUAUAAAUAUAAAAACAUUAAUUAAAAUGUGAACCUCGAGCACCAUCAAAAUGGAUUCUAAAGCUGAACGUGUUUGCUGUUGCUUUUUUCUUUCAGAUUCAUUUGAAGAGAUGAAAGAAAUGAGAUUGCACAGGUACAGUCAAGUAAAACAUUGUUACAGAAGUAAUUAAUGGUAAUAUUAUGUGGGGGGUUGUUUUGAUUUAGCUCCUACAGGUGUAACACUGGGUAUGUGUUUCCUUCGCAGCAAGUAGCAGCUGCUUGUUAGGGAGUUGUCUGGUGCUGUCAGUGUUGAGGACACUGAAGUGGUGAAAAUACACUGCUUUUUUGUUGGCAAAUAUUUGAUUUCAAUUUUAAAAUCACUUGGCAUGGGUCACAAGAGCUUUUGAAAUCCCUAUUUUUAAGUUUGCUAAAGAAGCAGGGACUCAGUGGUGCGUUGGGUGCGAGGGGAUGGCACAAGAAUUGAAACCCAAGGCGUCAUUUCUAACAUUGUUCAGGUUUUUUUGUGAUGCUGCUUUUUAAGAAAAUGAAUUGAAGGAAGUUGUCACAUAACGGGAGCGGGGGGGAGGUUGAAAGGAAAUACAAAAAAUAUCAGUGUGUUUGCAUGGCUCCUGUGCAGCCCAGGCAGGCUGGUGUGUAAGAGCCACUGGCAGCUGCCUUCUGCAGGGCUGCAGCCCCUCCCUGCCCUGCUCUGGUACAGGCAGGAAAUGUGAUGAAGUUCCAGAGAUCUUUAGUUUCUGGUCAUACAAAGUUUGUCCACUCACAUGGUAAAUAAGCAUCAUUUAAUCUUUUUAAAAAUGAGGAUUUUUUUACAUAUCUCAAAAGUCAAGUUGAGCUGAAUAAAGAAAUUUUAAGGAAAAUUUAACAGGUUUCAACUGUUGGAAUCUGGAUUUAUUUAUCAGAAAUACUAACAUUGUGACUUCUGGAAAAUCCUUGAUGUUCAGCAUCACCUGGGAGGAAAGUACAAGGUAAUAUUUCCCCACAGACCAGUUGGAAGAGCUGGGAAGUUCUGCAAGCUCUUCACAGUAGCAAAAGCAACUACUAAGUGUGAUUUGGGGCUGGGGGGAACAGUUAAUUUCUGACCUUGCUUCUGAAACUGGUUUCUUUGCACUAUAUAACUGCUUGUUCUCUUAUAGUUACCGACUGUCUGAUAGCACCUGUGAAGAAAAGAAACCCUGUCCUGUGGUGGUAAUGCAUGCAUGUUAAAUGUCUUCAUUGUAGAGUGUUCUUCAGUUCUUUAUAUCAUGGUUUAAAAAAAAAUUACAUAUAUAUAUAUUCAAAAUACCAUUUGGAAUGUCAACAUUCAGUGGGCUUUGAGGAGAUGUAGCAGCACAUCAUGGUUUGUAGGGACAAGGAGAUACAGACCAUUCUGGGCUGCCUCAUUACCUCAAGGAUAAGACAAGAAAGUGAGCUUCUGGUUAUCAUAGAUGUGGAAGCUAACACAUUCCCAUGUAUCUCGUUAGUUCAGGUAUGUGUAGACACGUUCUCUUGGUGCUUGUACUGUGCACAUCCUUUGCAGCUACAGAUACAUCCCUGUGAGCUCGUGUGUCUGGCCCUGCAGGCAGGAAGGACUUGUAGCUCCUUUUUGUUCUCCAACAUGGGCAUGACCACAUCCUAUACUAAUCUACUCCUCAGCUAUUGCUCUUGGGUCCUUUCCCUGGCAAAGGAUUGGCCAAGGGCCCCUUGCCCUGUGUUUGGGGCAGAGAGGGGGGUCUGGAGGCCGUGGAGAGCUGUCAGCAGUGCUCUAGCAGCACGUAAAUACUGGAGUUUGGGAUUGCCUGUUGCUCUCCAGUAUUGCAUUGCUGCUUUAGUGAGGCUGGAAAUCGGUCCCUGCCGCACGAGCCGGGGCUCUGGCUCUUGGGGUCCCUCUGUGGCACCCCCACGAUUCUUCCCACACUGCCAGGGGCUCCGGGCUCCCACCCCAAUAAACCACUGCGGAGGCAGCAACCAACGAGGGCUUGGUGUCGUGAAUGGGGAAGGGGCAGGACCCAGCACUGCCCCAGGGUACCAGGGGUGGAGGGAGCAGGGAGCACUUCCUGCUGUCCAGGAGAUGGUGAUGAGCUCUUCUCUGGUCUCUGGGGGGAGGGAGGAGCUGGGGCU